AUGCCGAAGAGCUCGAACAUCUCCGGGUGCUCCACCGGGUACUGCACCAUCUCCUGGAGCUCCCGCUUGACGUCCUCCAGGCCGCCCACGUCCUCCCACGACACCUUGGGGACCUCCACCAGCCCCGUCUCCCGCAGCGCCGACGGCUUGGUCACCUCCUUGGCGUGCACCAGGUCGUCCAUGAUCACCGACAUGGAGUUGAGCACCUCCACGUCGAUGGUGUCCGCCUCGAGGUCGAUGACGUCCAUCUUCUGGCGGAUGCACUGGAAGGCCGCCUCGGAGCAGAGCGCGGCGAGGUCGGCGCCGACGAAGCCGUGCGUGUCCUUGCCGAUGCGCUCCAGGUCGACCUCGCCGUGCGUCUUCUCGCGGUUGGGCGCGAUGGCGUCGAUCUCGUCCAUGAAGAUGAUGGACGGCGCCCGGGCCUCGGCCUGGGCGAACACCUCGCGCAGGUUGUCCUCGCUCUGGCCGGCCAUCAUGGACAUGAUCUCCGGCCCGUUGACGACCACGAAGUUGGCGCCCGACUCGGCCGCGAUGGCGCGCGCCAGCAGCGUCUUGCCGGUGCCGGGCGGGCCGUAG
rnacentral:rRNA from 1 species